rnacentral:rRNA from 1 species
GAUGAACGCUGGCGGCGUGCCUAAUACAUGCAAGCCGAGCGAACGGACGAGAAGCUUGCUUCUCUGAUGUUAGCGGCGGACGGGUGAGUAACACGUGGAUAACCUACCUAUAGGACUGGGAUAAAUUCGGGAAACCGGAGCUAAUACCGGAUAAUAUUUUGAACCGCAUGGUUCAAAAGUGAAAGACGGUCUUGCUGUCACUUAUAGAUGGAUCCGCGCUGCAUUAGCUAGUUGGUAAGGUAACGGCUUACCAAGGCAACGAUGCAUAGCCGACCUGAGAGGGUGAUCGGCCACACUGGAACUGAGACACGGUCCAGACUCCUACGGGAGGCAGCAGUAGGGAAUCUUCCGCAAUGGGCGAAAGCCUGACGGAGCAACGCCGCGUGAGUGAUGAAGGUCUUCGGAUCGUAAAACUCUGUUAUUAGGGAAGAACAUAUGUGUAAGUAACUGUGCACAUCUUGACGGUACCUAAUCAGAAAGCCACGGCUAACUACGUG